GCGAAAAACCUUACCUACCCUUGACAUGUCAAGAAUCCCUAAGAGAUUAGGGAGUGCCGCAAGGAACUUGAACACAGGUGCUGCAUGGCUGUCGUCAGCUCGUGUCGUGAGAUGUUGGGUUAAGUCCCGCAACGAGCGCAACCCUUGUCAUUAGUUGCCAUCAUUUAGUUGGGCACUCUAAUGAGACUGCCGGUGACAAACCGGAGGAAGGUGGGGAUGACGUCAAGUCCUCAUGGCCCUUAUGGGUAGGGCUUCACACGUCAUACAAUGGUCGGUACAGAGGGUCGCUAACCCGCGAGGGGGUGCCAAUCUCAGAAAGCCGAUCGUAGUCCGGAUCGUAGUCUGCAACUCGACUACGUGAAGUCGGAAUCGCUAGUAAUCGCGGAUCAGAAUGCCGCGGUGAAUACGUUCCCGGGUCUUGUACACACCGCCCGUCACACCAUGGGAGUGGGUUUCACCAGAAGUAGCUAGCCUAACCGUAAGGGGGGCGGUUACCACGGUGAGAUUCAUGACUGGGGUGAAGUCGUAACAAGGUAGCCGUACCGGAAGG
rnacentral:rRNA from 1 species